UGUUUUAUUUGCUUGGAUAGCGGCUUCUUGGUUGGGGUUACACUGUCACCUUAAGAGCAGUUCACGGUUAGCUCGCGAGGGUGGUGAAAUCGCAUUUUAUGUCACAAAGUUAGCGCGGGUAGAAGACUUCAGAGCUAGCUUCCGAUACAGAUUUAGUCUGGAUGGUGACUGCGUGUGAGCUGAAGGAAUACUUACCACAAGGUGGAACGUAUUGAACAGCGGGAUAGCAGGGGAGAUAUUGCUGGUUGUAUGUCUAAUUUCCGUGUGUGAUUUAGCGCACAGGCUGUACACCGGAGAGAAAGUGAGUUUGUAUUUGAAAUGUCAUGAACAUGGUUAAUUGUCAAAUGUUUUAAUUAACCAAUGUACUAAUGUGUGGCUCAACCAUUGUAUUUUUGUUUAUUUUCUUUCAUUAUUCAGAAGAGCCACUACUGUUGCUUAUACUGUUGCCUAUUUUUUA